AUGAUAUAAAUUGUCUUACCUUCAGUGCUGGCCCUUGUAAGGGUAUGUGCACGUUGGGGGGCAUAUAUCCAACACCCACUUGUGAACCAUUGGCCUUUGCUGGCUUCGGCUGGUAGAGGAUUUACACAAACACGAAUGUAAUGAAAAAAUGUUGUGCUAAGCACUAAUAAA
rnacentral:misc_RNA from 1 species